rnacentral:rRNA from 1 species
GAUGAACGCUGGCGGCGUGCCUAAUACAUGCAAGUCGAGCGAACAGAUGAGGAGCUUGCUCCUCUGACGUUAGCGGCGGACGGGUGAGUAACACGUGGAUAACCUACCUAUAAGACUGGGAUAACUUCGGGAAACCGGAGCUAAUACCGGAUAAUAUAUUGAACCGCAUGGUUCAAUAGUGAAAGACGGUUUUGCUGUCACUUAUAGAUGGAUCCGCGCCGCAUUAGCUAGUUGGUAAGGUAACGGCUUACCAAGGCAACGAUGCGUAGCCGACCUGAGAGGGUGAUCGGCCACACUGGAACUGAGACACGGUCCAGACUCCUACGGGAGGCAGCAGUAGGGAAUCUUCCGCAAUGGGCGAAAGCAUGACGGAGCAACGCCGCGUGAGUGAUGAAGGUCUUCGGAUCGUAAAACUCUGUUAUUAGGGAAGAACAAAUGUGUAAGUAACUAUGCACGUCUUGACGGUACCUAAUCAGAAAGCCACGGCUAUCUACGUG